CCUCUUAACUUCAAGGCUUUGUCAAGAUGCAAUUGAAAAGCUUUUUGGCAUAAUACGCCAAUUUAAUGGCUGCAAUGAUCACCCGACAUCGGCCCAGUUCCUCACUGCAGUGAACUGCCUUAGCUUUUAUAAUCUGGUAAAAGCUCCAUGUACUGGGAAUUGUGCAGGCGGAACGCCCGAGGCUCUAGUUGGGACAGCUUAAUUAGCAAGCCACAUCGACACCCUGCUGGACUCUGGUAAACUGGAUGAAGCGUCUAGCAUUAUCCAGACCUCUCCCACCACAUUAGCGUUCGAUCGAUCACAUAUAUCCAGAGCAAACAAGCGACGCCAGACUGGUGUACUACCUGGCAGGAUAUGUUGCACGACGAAAGGUCCUCGCAACAAAAUGCCGAGAUUGCUUCGUUCUUACACCACAAGAGAACGCAGAAAAGCAACUUUCAUCCGACCAGGCGGCCUGCUGUAUCCGACAAGUGAGCUGUUUGCUUUUGUUGAAGCACUGGAGGACUCUUUCACCAUUUGUUUUAGCUGGAAUAAGUUGCACAAAGAUAGCAUCACAGAGAUUAUGCAGCACAUGCAACAAAUGCCACACGUUGGCUGUGUUGCCCAUAAGGAAGCACUGACAAGCAGUAUUGUAAGGUUUUUCAUCAUGACACGUCUUCACUUCUACACAAGGUCUCUGAACAAAGACUGCACUUCCACAAGAAGAAAAAACAUUUGAAACUGAGCAGAACAACUUGAGGGCCAUGUGAAAAUGCGCUUUCAGCUAUGUCUUGUUGAAUUUUCUACCUGAAGCUAAUGUGACAUUUAGAAAACCUCUAAUUACCAUGAAUUUUGUUAUCAGGUGAAUGAUUUAUUGUUCAGUGUAAAAGCAAUAAACAGUUCCAUCAGGAAUGUACAGUAGGGACCACAUGUUUUCCACUUUUAUUUGCAUGAAACUAAUCACAUUAUUUGGACGAAUCCAGCACAAUACUAAUUUUACAAUUAAAUAAUGAUCGGCGCUCAGAGAAACGUCUAGUUAUAAUUUCAUACGCGUUGGACAUCCACUUUAAUUCAAGCCAUUUCUUCAAUGAGAAUCAAUUAUCACGAAUGAGACUACUGCAUUCAUGCUGUGAAAAAUUUUUGUGCAUAGAACUAGUGUAAACGACAAGUAGAUUCUUAUGGCAAAAAGUGCGAGUGCGCGAAAGAUCCCAUUCACGCCCAUAGCACGCGAUGGUUGCAUGUGGCAGUCUUCUGAGCGGCAACGUUGAAUCGCGAUAGAGCGUCACCGUGUAGCGCAUCGCUACUGUGCUCGGGCAGUAACAAAAGCGCAACUAUCGUGGCAGCAGUGAGCAAGUUUUAUCGAACGAAAACUGAUGAAAGGCGGAGAUAUACUAAUGUAUGGUCACUGCCAUUGUAGCAUGCAAGUGAACGCAUUGCAGUCCGGAUAUACUAAUUUAUGAAACCGAAAGAAUCACUGCAAAUUCGCGUUUAUAGCGAGAAAUGCGUAGCACGCCCGUAGGAAGCGACGUGUAAGCAACCGCCAGCGCCGCCUCGCGGUUGCAUCGCGGAAGCACACGCGAGCGGCCGCGCCUUCGGCCAACGCCUCCUAUUUCAGCCACUGUACUGAAAGCGAGUGUCGUCAAAUUCCUUUUUUAUUCUUAUGGUGUUGUGCUUGUGUGACGGGCGUCAGGUUAGUGUUGCAUUGCCAUUCUGCUGUUAAGCAACUGUUCAAGGGCCUACGGUUUCGUCCAUCCGGAAUCUCGGAGGAGGCCACGCCGGUGCAUUGAGCGUCGCUAUGGCUGUCGUCUGGCGCCUUCUGCUCCUCAAAAAUAAGCUGCGCCUUCUGAAAUUGCGCGACCUUGUGAAGAAGAAGCUAUAGGUCCACCUUGUAUGGCAACCAAGGAGGAAACAAGGAGAAUACCACGCUGCGGCGUGACGCUCAUCUCGCCCUUUGUGGGGCCCAUCCUGGAUUGGCAUGUGGCCAGCACCAACCAGAAGAGCUUUGAGCCUCUGUAGGACCCAGGUGUGAAGAGCGUGACGCGCAUUUACGAAUACUACAGGUGUCACGGCUAUGCGACCGUCGUCAUGGGGGCAUCGUUCCGCAAUGUGGGACAGGUGCGCGCCCUGGCCGGCUGCGACCUGCUCACCAUCAGAGCCCCGGCAGGCAGGGAGGAGCAGAAGGGCAGAAACAAGAGUGGACGACCUGCUGUCCUCUGUCGCUGGCCACUAUGCGGAGCGUGAAGCACAUUAACGAAUACUACAAGUGUCACGGCUAUGCGUUGCUGUGACACUUGUAUGUUGACACGAGUCUGUUGCACUCGCGCAAGUGCACAACAACCAAACACAGGACCUCCUCCAAUCAGUUGAGCGGCUAAGAACGGUGGGUGAAAAUCAAGGCGUGGCGACGUUGCCCCAAGCAGCAGCCAGCGAGCGUCUCACUUCUGCUGCUGAACAGCAAGUGCAACAAAACACCCAGCUGCUGCAGGAUCUGCGGAGCCUCACACACAUGGCACCAGCGCUGCUGCUUUGCCUUCAGCAGGCCGUGGGGAUGCCACCACAAGCCCCAGCAGGUGGACCACCUUCUUAUGAGGAAGCUUUAGCUCGACACUAAUAAUCGAGCCAAGAGACGUACCUUACAAUGCACAAAUGCUUUUGAUUAUAUUUGAUGGAAACUUUUCAUCUUUUGACAAUAUGAUGAUGAAUAUUUAAUUAUGGUGUGGAUUUAAUUGCAGAACGUUGGUUAGUUGUCUAAUAAUUGAAGCACAACAUUUACAAAUUCAUACCUCUAUUCAGAAAACAGAUAUUGCACUUCUGUAAACUGUAUGUUAGAAUCUUGUAUGUGGAUUAAUUCAAUGUGCGAAUUUAUAGCUCACAUGAAACUGUGACAAUGUUGAAAACGUUUCACCAACGUCCCACUCAAUAAUGAAGUGGAUUAUGUGAAAGUGAUGUGUAUGAGAAUUCUUUUUGUUGAGCUGUAUUACAUACACUUAUUGAAAAAUUACUCAUAAUUUAUAUUGCAGAAUUACAAAGUUGUAAACAAUAUGGGUUAGCUUGAUAAAAUUUGGAAAUCUGCAACAUUUGUCAGUUAACAAUUCAAUCGCCUAAAAAAUGUUGAGCUUCCUGUUGCCACUUGGUUUUAAUGUUUUCAUUUAAAUGUAACAAGUCACAACCAGUGCAAUAGUGUAGAUUAAUAAUUUCUCCAUUACCGUGUAUGUACAUAUCACCUCUCGGCACUAAAGCUUCCACUUUCCAAGGGAUGUGGUUCCUUUGUUGUGAUACGUGUUUUGUGAUUUGGGCGUGUAAAGCCCAGUUUCCUUGAUUGUUACCAUUAUUUAUGCUUUUCAUUUUUGCUGGUUUUGCAUCUGUGAACAGUAAAAUUUUUCAUUGUCAUGAUUUUGUUUAUGUUGUGUUAUAGCGUACUUGCACCUUGUUAAGCAGCAAUUAUGAGCAUUACGUGAAAUCAUGGGUGCAAGAAAUGCAAUGUUGAAGCAUCUCUUGAGUUUAAACAAAGCAGCAGUAAGCAUGAGUGUCUGUUAUUUAAAGAAAUCCUCCUCCAAAAAUGCUUGACAUGUCUUGUUUGUUGCUAUGUGUUUCAAGAAAUAUGUACUACACAGAUUGCACUGAAGGACGUUUCAGUUGUGUGUAACUCAUGCUGCGCUUGCGUGCGACACAUGAACAGACGUCUUCAGCUUUGGAACAAUGCAUACUUUACGGUAAAAUAGGCAUCGCAAAGCAGUAUUCAACAAUGCAAGAUUAGUUGCCGUUCACCUUAGAAAUCACCUUUAUUUCAAGAAAAUUCCCCGGCGAGACAAUUUUCAAAAGCACAGACAAUUUUCAAAAGCAAAGAAAAGGAGUAAUAUAAUGGCACAUGGUUAUUUGUCACUGCAUGUGUAUCUGUCAUGGUCACCGUAGACAAAUCAUGUGCUUUCCACUACUGCAGUAUGCAGCGUACUAUGAUUAGCCACAUCUGAGCACAAGCAAUGUGUUAUGUUAAAGUGCACAGCCUAUUUACUUUGAUGAAAAUAAACAUAAAACAUGUUACACCUGCACAUGUUUCCUCGUCAUCUGUGGCGAAUGCGCCAGCGCACAUUUUGCAGGUAGGCAACGCGCAAAUUUCUGGGCAGCCAAAACACACCAACUAUGGAUUCGCGCACAACCUCUUUGAAACAAAGCUCGAGAAGGCUGUACAGGAUGCGCCUGCGGUGGCACCUGUGCUUGAAGCGGCACUUGUGUUUGGGCUGGCUCCUGUUCGCUGUCGCCAUGUGCACCAUCGUCAUCUGGGUCGUCUGGCAGAGGCACGCCUGUUGCAAGGCAGAGGCUAUGAAGCGCUGCACAAGCUGCAACAAUAAUGGCUGCUUUCCGAGGCGAGUAGUGGAGCGCCCGAUACCUCUGCAGGCAUUGGAAGCGGCUCUUGACGACUCCUAUGCACUGGGACUCGCUCCGCGACAGCCGACCAGAGCAGACGUGUUGCGGAUGGGCUCCUGCCUCACCCCAAUAACCUGCGAGUCGUCCCUCUGUAUCGACGACAAUUGCUACUGCGCCUCUGGCAGCCUUGGUCACAUCCCGCUGAACGGCCCGACGGGCUCGCCACCGCCUGUACUCCCACGCUUUUUGGCCCGCCACUCCCGAGCCGAGCCGCUAAACCGGUUUCCAAUCGGACUCUGCCGCGCCAGGCUCUCAACUGUAAAACCGCCACCCCGACUGCUGAAAUGGCCCCCAGAGAUUCGCCCGAUGGUCUGGGCCCUUCCAACGGCCACCAUCCAUGGUCAACCUUCAUGACGAAGACUCUGAUAUGGACUCUUGUGAUUACUUCACACAAGACCAAGGCCUCCCGACAUCGUUGUCCGAUUCGGCUGCGAGCUUCCCUACCCAUGGUCCCACGUGGGAGUACACUCUCAGCAAGCAUCGGGCGAAGCAGCUCCAGGCAGGGCCACCCAUGAAACCCAGACCACCUCAUCAUCGGAAUCAGCCAUAUCCGUGAGUGGCACUCCGUCCAAUUGCAACUUCCUGUCCCCAGGCAUAACCCGAAAGCCCGGUCCUCGUCGCCCCAGACUAACACCCCUACCAAAGGGAGAUCUGAAAGUAGUCAUCCGGCUGACGAGAGGCAUAGCCCUCAAGAAAUACCCCAACCACGCUAUCGCGGCAGCAAUUGUCAAGUCCUGCCAGAACCCCACCCGUGCGGAGGGGAAAUACGUCGUGCGCCCCCACAUGGGCUCCAAUAUCCUGAUAGUCAGCACCCCGCACGAGGAGGCCGCUGACAAGAUCUGCCAACUCGCCCACCUUAAGCUGGACAACCAAGCCCACCCGGUGAGAGCAUGCGUCCCGUUCUCACCGCAAACCAUCAGAGACAAAUCGGAAACCAUUCACGGACUCGACCUCAACAACACAAGGGAAACCCUCAUGGAAGGACUGUGGGUGCGGGACAACCGCAUCAAGAUUCUGGACGCCCGCAUCUUGGGCACAUCUACAACGGCGCUGCUCACCCCACCUACCCAAGCUGGUCUACCAUGGAGGGUGUGAUUACCCAUGCUACCAGUACAGGCGAGCCCGGCAGUUUUGCCGGAUGUGUAUGCAGCCGGGACAUCGCCCGGAUGUGUGUCCAAACCCCAACACGCCGGUUUGCCACCGGUGCGGCACGCUGAACCCACCCCUCACCCACGUUUGUGAGCCGAAAUGCGGACUCUGCGGUGGUCAGCAUGAAACCGGCACUAAAGAAAGCUCCAAGAGACUGAAGCCACCAAGAGCGCUUCAGCUGCCACCCGCCUGCAACAAUGAAGAGAAGAGGUUGUCUUGACGGGACGGCCUCCCCAAGAUCUACAAUAACCGCUGGUUCGACUCCGAGGACGGGGACUCAGCCGACUGCUGCUGCAGCCAAUCCAGGUUCGGAACCAGAGCCCGGCAGCAGCAGCCACACCCACAACAAAUGCGGACACCACCCAUACUGAUGCCGAGAGAGAAGCGGCAACCCGCCCAAGACGCAACCAAGCAGGUGAGCUGGGAAGGCAGGGCAAGGACUCCUCUGCUCCUCCAACAGACACCCGAAUCCCCAAACUACAAGCUAUUAUAACAGCGCAAAAUGCUAGGAUAGCAGAAUAAGAUGCCAAGAUCGCAGCGCUUAUGGCCAAACUAGACAAAGUAAUCAAACAAAACACUGCGCCGCCACCUACCACACCCCCAAAAGCGACCCGAUGAAGUAGUGGCACACCAAACGCUACAGCAAACACUACAUAGAGAAGAGAGUAAGCUCCCUCACUGAAAAUGUCACCCAACUAUUCAGCGUGCUUCAAGCCAAAAUUGAAACCAUAGCGGGCAGCCUCGCGCAAGUAACUGCUGCACAAAAUUCACACUCAAUAUCAAUUGAGGCGCUCCAGACUCAAAGCCACACACGCGUCUCGUCGCGCAAUCAAGGUCCUACCCGCAAUCGCAGCCGUGCCAGUUCCAUUGGGAGCGAUGCCGGCCCGCCAGCCCACUUAGCUGACCAUGGCUCCAAACCAUAAGCCAAACAACGCCGAACACAUAGAAAUAUGGCAGUGGAACUGCAGAGGUUUCAGAUGAAAACAAGGAUCCCCAUAAGACCUAACAUUAUCUGCCUGCAAGAGAUAGGAGCCGAAAGAACCCCAAUGCUAGCCAGCUACUACACAAUCCACCAACCCCACAUGGCGACGGUUGCAGUGAAGUAUGCGAGUUGCCAACUAACUGUGCUGUAAACCUUGACAUGUGCACGUCUGUUUCAAUGACACAGGUGCCAGGACUUGCACGCUGGCAGGAAGUGGUAGAAGGUUUUGCAAAGCGCUGCAGCUUUCCAAACUGCCUUGGAGCCACAGAAGGUAAACACGUACAAAUAAAGGCACUUCCAAACUCUGGUUGCAACUACUACAACUACAAGGUAUGUAUGUAAAUCAUGUGCGAAGGUUAUUACUGCCAGAUGUGACAAUGCUGUUUUCACUUUUUUUUUUUCAGAGAACGUUCUCCAUUGUGUUGAUGGCAGUGACGGACGACACUUAUAAAUUUGUUAUGGUAGAUGUCGGGGCUCCAGGCCGACACAGUGAUGGGGGUGUGUUCAAGGCAACAUCAUUCAGCAAGGACCUUGCGAAAAAUUACUUAACUUGCCAGCCCCAGCACGCCUCCCAAAUAGCAACAAGGUGGCACCUCACAUAUCUGUGGCCGAUGAAGCCUUUCAGCUGAGGCAGGAUUUUAUGCGGCCUUAUCCCGGAAAAGGAAUACAGCCAAGACGAAAAGUAUUCCACUAUGGGCUAAGCAGAGCAAGGCGCAAUGUUGAAAAUGCCUUUAGGAUUCUGGUGGUACGAUGGAGUCCUUCUUGGCCACCUCAACCUACAACCUCAACCUCAACUACAAGGUAUGUAUGUAAAUCAUGCGCGAAGGUUAUUACUGCCAGAUGUGACAAUGCUGUUUUUACUUUUUUUUUCAGAGAACAUUCUCCAUUGUGUUGAUGGCAGUGGCGGACGACACUUAUAAAUUUGUUAUGGUAGAUGUCGGGGCUCCAGGCCGACACAGUGAUGGGGGUGUGUUCAAGGCAACAUCAUUCAGCAAGGACCUUGCGAAAAAUUACUCAACUUGCCAGCCCUGGCAGUGGCGGACGACACUUGUAAAUUUGUUAUGGUAGAUGUCGGGGCUCCAGGCCGACACAGUGAUGGGGGUGUGUUCAAGGCAACAUCAUUCAGCAAGGACCUUGCGAAAAAUUACUUAACUUGCCAGCCCCAGCACGCCUCCCAAAUAGCAACAAGGUGGCACCUCACAUAUUUGUGGCCGAUGAAGCCUUUCAGCUGAGGCAGGAUUUUAUGCGGCCUUAUCCCGGAAAAGGAAUACAGCCAAGACGAAAAGUAUUCAACUAUGGGCUAAGCAGAGCAAGGUAACAUGAAUAUAAUUGCUCUGGCUGCAAUGUAGAGCUUGCUUGAAAUAAAACAGCCAUGCUUGUUAAUGUUUAUAUAGCUGGACAGUCUGUGAAUAGCACAUCAUUAACCUGCUAAAUGUUUUGUUCCAGGCGCAAUGUUGAAAAUGCCUUUAGGAUUCUGGUGGCACGAUGGAGUCCUUCUUGGCCACCUCAACCUCCUGCCAAAGAAUGCAACCCAUGCUGUGCUGGCCUGCUGCGCGCUGCAUAAAUUUUUGUGAUCAAUGAGCAAAUCUACGUAUUCCCCGCCUGGUUACGUGGACAGUGAAGUCCGAUAUGGGAACGUUAACCCAGGCAAGUGGAGGGAAGAGGCUUAGAUAAAUGAGCUGUGUGGCUUGGCAGGAACGUCAUCAAGAAAUCACAUGGUGGAUGCUGCUGAGACGCGCGACCUCUUUCCAGAGUACUUUAUGGUCGAAGGUGCUGUGCCAUAGCAGUGGGCACACACUUACCUUCCAACCCCAUCUAAUA